AUGUUAUCACAUUUCUCUCUUUCUCUCCGUCGUCUCUUCUCUUUCUUUUUCAGAAACCCUAAAAAUCAACCGCCACCGACGGCUUUCUCCCCCUAUUAUCGGCCACCACCACCUCCAAUGAAAAAAAAAUCAAAGGCUAUUCACACUCUUCAUCUCACUGGCUUCCUAAUGAACCGAAUAAGGUAUGCAUUAUUUCAUGUUUUUGUUUGUUGUUUUUACUAUAGCCAUGUUUAA